rnacentral:rRNA from 1 species
UACAGAGGGGGCAAGCGUUAUUCGGAAUUAUUGGGCGUAAAGGGCGCGUAGGCGGCUUUGCAAGUGACGGGUGAAAGCCCUCGGCUUAACCGAGGAACUGCCUGUCAGACUGUAAGGCUUGAGACCGGGAGAGGUGAGUGGAAUUCCCAGUGUAGCGGUGAAAUGCGUAGAUAUUGGGAGGAACACCGGUGGCGAAGGCGGCAUCCUGGACCAAUAUUGACGCUGAGGAGCGAAAGCUAGGGGAGCAAACAGG